GGCAGAAGCUGUUCAAGUGAGAGGAAUUCAGACGCUGGGCUUGGAACAUUUUGCUCCUUUAUCCAAGCGCCUUUCAGGACACUGAUUAUAACCUACAUCAAAGGACGAUGCCACGAGCUGUGGUAGCACCUCAUUAACACUCUGCACAAGAAUCCUACGUACUGAUACCUGCCGUGUCUGAAUCCUACACCGAGCCACGAACUACUCCUCACCCCGAGUUAAGU
rnacentral:lncRNA from 1 species